rnacentral:rRNA from 1 species
GAUGAACGCUGGCGGCGUGCCUAAUACAUGCAAGUCGAGCGAACGGACGAGAAGUUUGCUUCUCUGAUGUUAUAGGCGGACGGGUGAGUAACACGUGGAUAACCUACCUAUAAGACUGGGAUAACUUCGGGAAACCGUAGCUAAUACCGGAUAAUAUUUUGAACAGCAUGGUUCAAAAGUGAAAGAAGGUCUUGCUGUCAGUUAUAGAUGGAUAAGCGCUUCAUUAGCUAGUUGGUAAGGUAAAGGCUUACCAAGGCAACGAUGCAUAGCCGACCUGAAAGGGUGGUCGGCCACACGGGAUGUGAGACACGGCCCAGACUCCUAGGGUAGGAAGCAGUAGGGAAUCUUCCGGAAGGGGGGAGUGCGUGACGGAGCAACGCCGCGGGAGUGAUGAACGUCUCCGGAUCGGAAAGCUCUGUUAGUAGUAAAGAACAUAUGUGUAAGUAGCUGUGCACAUCUUGACGGUACCUAAUCAGAAAGCCACGGCUAACUACGUG